UUAGUUCAGUUGGUAGAACGUUGCACUUUGUAGUGCAAAGGUCCCUGGUUUGAUACCAGGA
rnacentral:tRNA from 1 species